GUGAAACGGUGCGUGCGGUGCUUCUUUGAGUAUUAAUUUUGUUUUUUUUUCUUCUUCUUUUUGAUUGAAAUUCCAUGAAUUUGUACAAAAAUCCAGAUCUGCUUACCUGAAGCAAAAACCACGGAAUCAAGCUCUGCGAGAGAGAGAGAGAGACUGUGAGAGCAAGCAGCAAGGUUCACGGCGGAUUUGAAAUUGAGAGAGAAGCUGCGGUGCGGCGGUUCAGAAACGAUAGAGAAAGAGAAGGCUGCAAACGUGAAACGGUGCGUGCGGUGCUUCUUUGAGUAUUAAUUUUGUUUUUUUUCUCCUUCUUUUUGAUUGAAAUUCCAUGAAUUUGUGGUUCAUCAUAAUAACACACACUGAAUUGCACAAAUAGAAACUAUGCUUUUAAACAACUUUAGUCUAAAACAGAAAAAACUGCUGAACUAUAGAAACUAUGCUUUACAAAAUGUUUUAAACAAGUUUAGUCUCAAAACAGAAAAAUGGAA
rnacentral:lncRNA from 1 species